rnacentral:rRNA from 1 species
GUGGCGACCGGCGCACGGGUGCGUAACGCGUAUAGAACCUACCUUUUACAGAGGGAUAGCCCAGAGAAAUUUGGAUUAAUACCUCAUAGUAUUAUAGAUUGGCAUCGAUUUAUAAUUAAACAUUUAUGGGUAAGAGAUGGCUAUGCGUCCUAUUAGUUAGAUGGUAAGGUAACGGCUUACCAAGACAGCGAUAGGUAGGGGUCCUGAGAGGGAGACCCCCCACACUGGUACUGAGACACGGACCAGACUCC